rnacentral:lncRNA from 1 species
AUUUAGGUCAAUACCCAAUUUUUCACUGUAGAAAAUGAUAUUAGAGAGCCAUGAAUUAUUGGAGCUAGUUUGAGCUUUACUCUCAAUCAUUUUUAACUCAGCAUAGGCACUUUUUAAUAAAUCAGAUGGAGAAUUCUCUAGUUUAUACCAAUACAUAAACAUAUGUGUUAGCAAAUUUAUAUAAAGAGGAUAUCUACCCAAUUCAGACAGGACUGCUACAUUUGUGCACUUCUUUGUAACACCAAUAAUAUACUUACAAAAUUUUAAAUUUAGCUUCUCAAACUCCCAAUCUUUAAAUAUGUCAUAAAGGGAUAAAUUUUUCCUUUUAGGAGUAAUGUUAAUAACACCC